AUUGAACGCUGGCGGCGGGCCUAACACAUGCAAGUCGAGCGAGCGGCGGACGGGUGAGUAAUGUCUGGGAAACUGCCUGAUGGAGGGGGAUAACUACUGGAAACGGUAUCUAAUACCGCAUACCAUCCGGUGUGCCCAGAUGGGAUUAGCUAGUAGGUGGGGUAACGGCUCACCUAGGCGACGAUCCCUAGCUGGUCUGUGAGGAUGACCAGCCACACUGGAACUGAGACACGGUCCAGACUCCUACGGGAGGCAGCAGUGGGGAAUAUUGCACAAUGGGCGCAAGCCUGAUGCAGCCAUGCCGCGUGUGUGAAGAAGGCCGUCGGGUUGUAAAGCACUUUCAGCGGGGAGGCGUUACCCGCAGAAGAAGCACCGGCUAACUCCGUGCCAGCAGCCGCGGUAAUAC
rnacentral:rRNA from 1 species